CACCAGGUUGAUUCUGCCUGACGUAGACGCUAUUCCCUAAGAUUAACCCAUGCAUGUUCUUGACGAUUAUAUCUGAAAGAUGGACUGCUCAGUAAUACUCACUUUAUUUUAUGUAUACAGCAUGUAACUACGUUAAAGUGUAGAUAAUACGUGUACAGUAAGAGUGAGACCUAUCAGCUAGUUGUUAAGGUAAUGGCUUAACAAGGCAGUAACGGGUAACGGUAUUACUUUGUAAUAUUCCGGAGAAGGAGCCUGAGAGACGGCUACUAAGUCUAAGGAUUGCAGCAGGGGCGAAACUUGACCUAUGGAUUGUUUCUGAGGCAGUUAUGGGAAGUAAUUUAUAUUGUUUCAUAUUUUAAACGUAUAUGAGGUGAUUAAUUGGAGGGCAAAUCAAGUGCCAGCAGCCGCGGUAAUACUUGUUCCAAGAGUGUGUAUGAUGAUUGAUGCAGUUAAAAAGUCCGUAGUUUAUGGUUAAGAAGCAAUAUGAGGUGUACUGUAUAGUUGGGAGAGAGAUGAAAUGUGACGACCCUGACUGGACGAACAGAAGCGAAAGCUGUACACUUGUAUGUAUUUUUUGAACAAGGACGUAAGCUGGAGGAUCGAAGAUGAUUAGAUACCAUUGUAGUUCCAGCAGUAAACUAUGCCGACGAUGUGAUAUGAAUAUUCGUAUUACAUAAUAGAAAUUAGAGUUUUUUGGCUCUGGGGAUAGUAUGAUCGCAAGAUUGAAAAUUAAAGAAAUUGACGGAAGAAUACCACAAGGAGUGGAUUGUGCGGCUUAAUUUGACUCAACGCGAGGUAACUUACCAAUAUUUUAUUAUUCUGAGAGAAUACGAUUCGAGAAUGAUAAUAGUGGUGCAUGGCCGUUUUCAAUGGAUGCUGUGAAGUUUUGAUUAAUUUCAACAAGACGUGAGACCCUUUUGUAUAGACAGACACAAUCAGUGUAGGAAGGAAAGGAUUAAAACAGGUCCGUUAUGCCCUCAGACAUUUUGGGCUGCACGCGCAAUACAAUAGAUAUAGAAUCUUUAUGGGAUAAUAUUUUGUAAGAGAUAUUUGAACGUGGAAUUGCUAGUAAAUUUUAUUAAAUAAGUAGAAUUGAAUGUGUCCCUGUUCUUUGUACACACCGCCCGUCGCUAUCUAAGAUGAUAUAUGCUGUGAAAUUAGUGCAAACUACUUGAACAGUAUGUAUUAGAUCUGAUAUAAGUCGUAACAUGGUUGCUGUUGGAGAACCAUUAGCAGGAUCNNNN
rnacentral:rRNA from 1 species